UGAUGUGGUUUGGGAUUGAUAAAAUGUGUUUGGAAAAAUAAUUUGAUCAGAAUAUCAAUUUACCUUAUAAUUAUGAACACACUGUAAAGUAUUAAGUGGUGCUUUUGGUAUGGUUUGUGUGAAUGCCUUGGUUUCUGUAUCAACAGCAGCUGAAGAACAGAGCUGAGCCAAAAUAGUCCCUCUGUCUCCUUCUGGAAGUACAGGUCAGCAGUUUUCAUCCCUCCAGGAUAACAACAUGAUGAGGUGUCAUACACAUCCGUGGGGUCUGAAACACAGGGACCGGAUGCAAGGAAGAUGCUGAGCUCUGUAGUAGAUUCAUCUUCAAUGAGAGUGACAGAUUACAACAACAUAAUCCCUCCCUGAUGACCCGAGGUCAGGCCUGCACUUCAACACACUAAGUUCAGGUUAGUUCAUUUCACUAUCACAACACUUGUGGAGGUUUACAGGAUUAACAUUGUAUCCAGACCACAAGAUGUAGAGCAAAAUUGGACCGUUGCUUUAAAAAGUCAAAGUUUCCUCAUUUGUUUUCUAAUCCAUCUCAACUAAGGUCUGAGGGAAGAAUAUAGUCAUUUUAUCCUUAUAAACUGUUUUGAAUGUGUCACUGGAUCAUUUGAUCUCAUGAAAGUGGACGGCCCUGUACAGUAUCUUUCUCUCUGGUUUUUGAGAAAAGAAAAUGUGCAGUAAUCACGUGACCACAUCAGACUGACCAUCAAAUGGAAGAAAACUUCUCGCUGUCCGCCAUCAAAUCUCAUCCUGCUUUUCUGAGCCAGAGAUGGGACAGAAGUAGGUCAGCAUCACAUCUACCUCCUCUCCUGUUAAUCUGUAAUUCGUAGAGUGGCUCUUAAUUGCUCUUCAAUCUUUACACGUCAUGCAGGAGCAGCUGCAGAGGGAGGGGCUGCGGCGAUGCUCUUUAAGGAGCACAGGCUGCAUUAGCAGGCUAGGCAAAUCCCUUUCUGUCUAAGUGAGCAGCAGAGAUGGAUUAGAUCUGAUCAGAGAGAGGCCAGCAGUGCAGAAACAGAAUUAGAAAAGCUCAAGCCAUAACAGAGGACCACAGUGCUGGAGAGGUAGCAUCGCCAUCUGACAUAUGACUAGGGGAAUGUUAGGUUAUUGAUUUCAGUAAUAUUUUGUAUUUGUCUGAGUAGAUUGUGGAGUGACAUUAGAUAUAGCAAUCGCAUAGACCUGUUAAGUAGAAUCUACAAAAUAUUAACUUGGUUAACAACAAAAACAAAAACAACAUAAUUUAGUAUGAUUUAUAAGCUGUUUUUUCUCAUGGUAACCAAAAAAUGCCCCCACAAAAUAAAAAAUGUCUGGUAUUACUAUUCUUGUGGGGAAAUUUGGGCCCCACAAUGUAGGGUUUAUCAGGGUUAUGCAUACACGCAUGUUUGUUUUGGUCUUUAUUCUAGACUUGCUAUAGACUUCUGUUGUUUUUAUGCUGACAUAAUGGUAUUUUCUAUCCCCUAACCAUACCCCAAAACCAAAAAGCAUCAUUGAGUAUAUUUUUAUUAAUUCAUUUCCCUCAUGGGGACCGUGGGCCGGUCCCCAGAAUUUAGGUGAUCUCAGGUUUUAUUAUCCUUGUGAGGCCAUUUGGUCCACACAAUGGAGGCUACAUCUGUACACACUCAUACAUGUGUCGUCAGAAUUAUUGGCACCGUUGGUAAAUAUGAUCAAAGGCGGCUGUGAAAAUAAAUCUGUAUUGUUUAUCCUUUUGAUCUUUCAUGCAAAAAAUGAGCAAAAAUCUAACCUGGUGCAGAUUUAUUUUCACAGGCUUCUUUGUUCAUAUUUACCAAGGGUGCCAAUAAUUCUCUCCACGACUGUAUGUGUGUAGUACACUCUACUAAUAUUCACAAAUCCAGUUUGGAGUUGUUAAGAGUUUUAUUUAUUUAUUUAUUAAAAUAAGUCUCUUAUGCUUAUCGCUACUGGGAAUGUUUAACUCAAAACUGAGAGGAAUAUACUGGGAAUGUUUAACUCAAAACUGAGAGGAAUACACAGGUCACACAACACAGCAACGUAAAACAAUGAUGUAAUGGUAUUAACAUGCGUUAAAGCCCUUAAUAAUAUGAAGAGUCCUGGGGAGUGAACACACACACAUAUGUUUGUUUCACUAUAUUAGUGAGGACCAUUAAAAAUGUCAUAAUAUUUCACACGCACGCAGCACAGGUAAGAAUUCAGGUUAGGCUUGUGAACAGGAUAACGCUGGAGAGCAGGUAGCUCUAAGUAUCAUAUGGGGUUGCUGGAGUACAGGUAAGUAAUUUAGAAGAUCACUGGAGAUAAGGUUAGCAUUUAACAAAGAUGAAUACGUUUUCCACAUUGGAGACCAGACUUCAAACGAGCUCUGUUAUCAGCCCCACAGUUGAAAAUGAAACCAUGUCCGUACCGGCUGGGCCAGAUCAGCACGGAAUGGACCAGUUAAGCAAUGAGAACAGUUUGGCCCGAUGGUGGAAAAGCAGCUGAAGACUGAGGAGUAUGAGGGACUUAUAAAGGAAGGCUGAUUGGCGUGAUAAUGGGCUGCAGCCUGUCAGUGGCAUGAAGGCUCUGGUAGCAGAACCAGUAAUAAUUUCUGAACUGGGAUACCACUGUCUCCAGAGGGUCCCACCGAGUCCUCAAAGCUCUGCUCAGAACGGUUCCAAAUAACAGCCAUGUAAUCACCUGCGACCUGACCGGACUAGCAGAGCUCUUUCUAUUUCCCCAGUUGUUUGAAGCUGUCAAGGCCUGGAGCUUUUAGAGCUUUUAGAUGAGUGUGAGAAAAGGAGGGAUAAUCAUUCUCUCCAGGGCUAGUGUACUUGAAAUUCUGACUGUUGAGGAGCUGGUGGCAAAUAGGAGCGCUGUCUGGAAUGGGCCAGUAAUUCAUCAUUAAUCUGACUCAAUCAAAAAUGGAAUGAUGUGUGUAGUUUCUGACUGACUGUUUCACCACUAUCCAUGAUAAUGAUCAGAAAACUUUGUCAGUAUCUAUUCUCAAGCAUUUUAAUACAAUAAUAUUGAAAGGGGGUGUAUCCUUCUAGGGAGAUUCUCCAUGCCAUUGCUCUCUUGUUGUUUAAAGGCACAAUUCUUUGUAAAUAUUUUCAAUAUUUUCUAUAUUUUAAUAAUAUUUUCUUUGUUCAAUGAUAAUAUAAAGGCCAGUUAAUUUACGUAGCACAAAAUGUAUUUAAAAUAUAUUGCAUAAUAUUUUUUUCUUACAUUAAUAAAUGGGUCUGUUUACAUGAAAAAGAUCUGCCUUAAUGUAAGCAUGUCCCUUGCUAGGGUAUUAUUAUAUUUGGGGGUCCCUGCCAUAAAAACGUUUAAAACCUAACUAUAAACUAUAAAAAUUUCACAGUUUGGAGAGGUGUUUUCCUCUAUUAUGACCAAUUGUUUGCAUACUUAUAUCCCUGAUUUCCUCCGCGGCAUAUCUUUGACAUUAUUCAUUAAUGCAGUGGAAGUAUCCUUGCAGAUGAUGUGGGCUGCGAGUCUCUGAAUUAUUGAAAUAAAUUAAGAUGCAGCACAGAUGUGAAGUGUGCCGUAUGUGUGUUUAUCUUAGUGUGUGGACCAGGAUGUGGGUAUUUGGCUACAUUAAUAUUAAUAAUGUUUUUCCCCUUCUUUCUCACACACACACCCUGCAUUUCAGCUCACACAUGCCUUAUCGGUAUGAAAGUGAAGAUAAAAAAGCGUAGCUGCCAAAAUUCAUAGAUAAAAAAGAUCAAAGCCAAAAAUACACAUCACAGCUGACAGUGAACACUAAACUUCAGAAAAGCUCAAAGACGCUCUGCCCAGAGACUUCAUUUGCCCCUUACAUUCAGUCAUAUUUGUGUAACAGCUACAAGCUUGUCUUCACUUAUUGCCUGAGUAUGUGCCAUCAGCAUCCCUAUAGUGGUGAAUAGAGAACGAGAAUUAAAGAGAGAGCAGUGUAAAUUAAAGCUCAUUUGCUAAUGGUCCUAUCCUCACCCUGAGAGCAGCUGGGGGCGGUAAAUCAGGUGCUGCUGCACUGCAGCGUCAUUGCUGCAGUCACCACUGCUUUAUGGGCCUAUCCGAAUGCCAGUUUGGCACACGGCAUAUCCGCAACUGUGAGAUAGAAAAAGAAAAGAACUGCCGUUGUAAGUGCCGGGCACUUUGCAGCAUCAUUAAGCAUCUCAGCAGGAUGUGAGGGAUGAGAGAGAGAAAGCCGGAAAGAGAAGGAUGCCUGAGUUCAUCUCUACAAUCUCCCACAUGACAAGUUUUUACUGUCACAUGCAGAUGCAGGCCUUCAAAAUUUCCUUUCAUCUUUUUUUAACCCUCUUGAACUCAUCUACCAAGAGAUUUUAUAGCAGGGGGUCAGUCUGUGUGCUGUGAGACAUGAUAUCCUGCACCCUACAGCUGUGAGACCAUAUGGAGCAUCUUCAGGGCACAACAUGGAAUCUGUCUAAAAGCCCUUUAUUAAAAUCACUGCCUUCUUAUCAACUGCUAGGUGUAAAGAGUACCUGAAAACCAUACUUGAGUAAAAGUACAGAUACCUUACAGUGAAAAUGACUCUAUUUCAAGUUACAAGUCACCAAUUCCAAUACAACAGUACUGAAGUAUUUUACUCUUACUGAAUGUAAGCUCAAAGACGCUCUAGUGCUCAAACACCUAAGAGACA